rnacentral:misc_RNA from 1 species
UUGUUGAGAAUUAAUUCUCUUUUCCAAGGAUUGGACCCUGUUUUGCUCUUUGUUCCUCUUUUUCUACAUCAUUAUCUUCAGAUCUGCAAAUCAUAUUCAUCAGAGUGGAUCAUUCCACACAUUUCACUCAUUUUCCCUUGACAUUUCUGGCAUACAAUAACAAAUCUUCUAUCAGAAAAAUGCAAUAAAAUUCUUAAAUUGUUUUCCCCCAACUUUAUUCACCCCAAUCCUUGCCAUAAUUUUAGGAUAUCAAGAAUGAGAACAAGGUCCUUACAACUCAAGUUCACCCUACAGCUUAUUUAUUCACUUCUAGCACUUUCAGACAUUCAUCAUCAGCGAAAAAUUCUGAGUAAAAUAAAUCUCCUUUUAAACAUUUCAUGCAGAAAUUUAAAACUUGUAUGUACAGAAUCAUAAAGCUUAUAAUAAUGUUAAAUAAAACAAUAUCAAUAUAAAGAGAAGUUAGUGCAAUGCUACUCUAACAACAAAAACAACUGAGACUUAAUCUCAAAACAAAACCAUGUGUAAGACAACCAAG